CCCCAUUACACAAAAUCUGACUCGAUUUUAUAGCCGACCUAGAGAAAUAACAAUAAAAUCAAUAAAAAUCCCUUGAUUCUCUGUAUCCUGUUGUUAUUUGUUUUUGAGUCUCGUUACAGGUACUGUUGGAGGAGAAUGCGCGCGACGUGCGUGGAGUAACGUGCGCAACAUGCGGAGGCGACGGACGUGACGUGCAGGGGCUGUUGCGGCGUGCGUGUGGGAGCUACUGCGGCGCAAGUUUGCUGCAGCGCCUAGGGUUUUUUUGGUUUUAGGCUGAUGGGGCUUGGGUCAAAUGGG
rnacentral:lncRNA from 1 species